rnacentral:rRNA from 1 species
CCUACGGGGGACAGCAGUAGGGAAUUUUCGUCAAUGGGCGCAAGCCUGAACGAGCGAUGCCGCGUGAGUGAAGAAGGCCUUCGGGUCGUAAAGCUCUGUUGCGGGGGAAAAAAGGCAGCAUCAGGAAAUGGGUGCUGACUGAUGGUGCCCCGCCAGAAAGUCACGGCUAACUACGUGCCAGCAGCCGCGGUAAUACGUAGGUGGCGAGCGUUAUCCGGAAUGAUUGGGCGUAAAGGGUGCGCAGGCGGUCCUGCAAGUCUGGAGUGAAACGCAUGAGCUCAACUCAUGCAUGGCUUUGGAAACUGGAGGACUGGAGAGCAGGAGAGGGCGGUGGAACGCCAGGUGUAGCGGUAAAAUGCGUAGAUAUAUGGAAGAACACCGGCGGCGAAGGCGGCCUGCUGGACCGCGACUGACGUUGAGGCUCGAAAGCGUGGGGAGCGAACAGGAUUAGAUACCCCAGUAGUC